rnacentral:rRNA from 1 species
GACGAACGCGGCGGCGUGCUUAACACAUGCAAGUCGAACGGAGCGAAUGAAAGCUUGCUUUUAUAAGCUUAGUGGCAAACGGGUGAGUAACACGUAGGCAACCUGCCGACAGGAUGGGGACAACAUUCCGAAAGGAAUGCUAAUACCGAAUGAAGCGCAGGGGAGGCAUCUCUCCUGCGUGAAAGAUGGCCUCUAUAUAUAAGCUAUCACCUGUCGAUGGGCCUGCGUCUGAUUAGCUGGUAGGUGAGGUAACGGCUCACCUAGGCGACGAUCAGUAGCCGGUCUGAGAGGAUGAACGGCCACAUUGGGACUGAGACACGGCCCAGACUCCUACGGGAGGCAGCAGUGGGGAAUCUUCCGCAAUGGGCGCAAGCCUGACGGAGCAACGCCGCGUGAGUGAAGAAGGUCUUCGGGUCGUAAAGCUCUGUUGAUGGGGACGAACGUGCCUAAUGCGAAUAGUAUUAGGUAA